rnacentral:rRNA from 1 species
AGCAGCCGCGGUAAUACGGAGGGUGCGAGCGUUAAUCGGAAUUACUGGGCGUAAAGCGCAUGCAGGUGGUUUGUUAAGUUCAGAUGUGAAAGACCCGGGGCGUCAACCUCGGAAUAGCAUUUGAAACUAGGCAGACUAGAGUACUGUAGAGGGGGGUAGGAAGUUUCAGGUGUAGCGGUGAAAUGCGUAGAGAUCUGAAGGAAUACCGGUGGCGAAGGCGGCCCCCUCGGACAGAUACUGACACUCAGAUGCGAAAGCGUGGGGAGCAAACAGGAUUAGAUACCCUGGUAG